CCUACGGGGGGCUGCAGUGGGGAAUAUUGCACAAUGGGGGAAACCCUGAUGCAGCGACGCCGCGUGAGUGAAGAAGUAAUUCGUUACGUAAAGCUCUAUCAGCAGGGAAGAAACACUGACCUUACGGUCAGCAGACGGUACCUGAGUAAGAAGCCCCGGCUAACUACGUGCCAGCAGCCGCGGUAAUACGUAGGGGGAAAGCGUUAUCCGGAUUUACUGGGGGGAAAGGGGGGGUAGACGGGUCGACAAGUCUGGAGUGAAAUGACGCAGCUUAACUGCGGAACUGCUUUGGAAACUGGCGAACUAGAGUGCGGGAGGGGUAAGCGGAAUUCCUAGUGUAGCGGUGAAAUGCGUAGAUAUUAGGAGGAACACCGGUGGCGAAGGCGGCUUACUGGACCGUAACUGACGUUGAGGCUCGAAAGCGUGGGGAGCAAACAGGAUUAGAUACCCUAGUAGUC
rnacentral:rRNA from 1 species